rfam:Ovis aries breed Texel chromosome 13, whole genome shotgun sequence.
UGCCUGGUGGUCCAGUGGUUGGGACUCAGCACUUCCACUGCUGAAGGCCCAGGUUCAAUCCCUGGUCAGGGAA